UAUUUUUAGCAUGUUGUGAUACCCGCGCUGUAGCAUGUUGCAGAAAAUAAUUUCUAGUAUAAUAAUCAAAUAUACCAAUUGCCACAGAAUGGGAAAGUGCUAAAAAAGUUUUUACCAUUUAAAACUACAGCUCCCAGUAUGACCUCAAGUAUGUGGUCCUGCUGAUUUGUAAAAGAGAAAAUAAAGCUUGCCCUGAGAAUCCUGGAGAACAGACUUUUGGCCCCUUCAGGCAUCACGACCCGGGUACAACAUUUACCUUUACAUUUAAUGCCGUUACGCCCUGUGCCAUAUUGUGAAUAGAAUGCCUUUAUAAUAUGGCACCCAAUAAGGCAUGUCAUCAUUUUAAGAUUUAUACACCGAAACACUGUGUGAAAGGAGGAUGCAACACCCGCUCUGAGGCCAACAUGGUUAAUCUAUACUCAAU